rnacentral:lncRNA from 10 species
CGAGCGGCAGCUGUCAGGCCACCGAGGUCCAAGCCGCACUUGCUGCCCCAUUGAGGACGAGGAGGCAGCAGGAGCAGUGACGGUGACUCUAAGGAGCCGGAUUCCCGGCACGCAGAGCUGACCUGCCUGGCACCCGCGGCCCUCUCCUGUUUCCUUCCCAUUGUGUUGGCUCCUUGGAAACCACAGGGUUGUCAUGGUAGCUGUUAUCAAGGAGAAGGGAGUGAGAAGAUGCUGACAACACCCUGUUUCUCUUCCCUAACGAGGUGUAAGGCCAGAUGCCCCCUUCGUCUACACAGAUUCUACGCUCCCUUAUGCUCUGGAAUUUCGCUUUGCUGCAGAGACAUCUGGAAAUGUGGAUUGAGGGUGGAAAUAAAAUGAAGAUGUCCUG